GCGCAAUAUCAACUACCAAUAAAAAUUAUUUUAUUAAAUAAUAAAUGGCAAGGUAUGGUCCGCCAAUGGCAAC
rnacentral:tRNA from 1 species